UACUAGUAGAAUUUAUUUUUCUCCCGACACCAAUCAUUUAACAAUAGCAAAGCAUUCUCUUGAUACAGACAAGAAAGCAGCUCAAGUUCAUCAUCUUACUCCAAGAAGAUGAAGGGAAGAGGGGCAUGCAAACUUCAAAGAAUAACAAAUAUCUCUUCAUAUUAAGGCACAAAUCUCUCUUAUACUUUACAACAACGACGGCAACAAAUGUCCCAAUAGGCCAACACAGCAGCGGCAACAACCAAAGAAAUUUAACUAAUAAUAGUAGCAGCAGCAGUAUACUAGUGGCACCGCUUAAAGAACAGCACGAGAAGCAGCUUAUUUUUGAACUGAGAGGACGUGAUCUCUGGGCGCGGAUCCGAGGCUUAGCCGCGGCAGCGGGUGAUGCGGGAGCAUCCGCGGUGGUAGGGGUUGGCCUGGGCGCCGGGGCGGCAGUUGUAGUAGCUGGCGCCGCGGCGGUUGCAGGGGACGGUGCCCCUGCGCAGCGCGCCGUAGCUGAUGUAGCCGCGGCCCUGCAGCACGCGGCGGUGCGCCUCGGCCGACGCGGACCCGAGCUCCCCCUCCGCGUCCUCCCCGCCGCACUCGGCCACGGUGCCCCUGCACUCCCCGCGGCCAGCGCCGCCGGAGAGGAGGCCGAGCUGCAGGUGGUCCCCGCCGGCGAUGGACGAGGCGGAGGCGGACAGCGCGACGGCGAGCACCAGGAGGAGCAGCACGAGGCUCCUAACGCCGGCCAUGGCGCGGCGGCGGCGAGGGGUAGCGGGCGAGAAUGAAUGCGCGUGGGGGAGGGGAGCGCACAGCGAAGCCUUAGCUGGCGCGGUGUGACGAGAGGAGGGGAGGGGAGAGGAGAGGAGGGAGGUGGGCGAGAGGGAUAAAGUGGGAAGAGGCUGGGGAGCGGCGGGGGUGGGACUGGUGAAAUAGAAAGGGGUCCCAACCCCCGAGCCAAAUAAUAAAGACGCGGAGCGGAGCGGGGCGGAGGAGAACGGUAGCGCGGCGCGAUGCGGCCGCGUUGCGACUGGAUUCGGCGCGGUGCGGUGCGCAACAACUGGACACAACUCAUGUGACGAGGAGGAGGAAGCGUGUCGUCGGAGACAAUGGCCAUGUGCAGCCAGGCAAUGGACGAUGAGACGAACCGCGUGGUCGUAAUAGCGGUAUGUGAUCGGCGCAAAGCUCGCUGGAUGAUUAAAACCUGACUAUAAUGGGACGAGAGCUGUGGGAACAUGGAGGAUCGUGGGACGGUGGCAGCUUUUCAGGUGGGCUUUCCUGUGGUGUUCGGCCACUGUCUGUUGGCUUGCUAAAUUUGUAAAGUUACCACGAGAUGAUGGUGCCCUUUUAUGAUAUUACUCCAUUAUUGAGCGAAUUUUAAGGGUAGACGGUGUAUUGGAAAGGAGAGGGAUGUUUGUGUUAUGGUAAAAUUUCGUUUAAAAUUGUACUGACAAUGGCCAUCGCUGCAAAAUCUGGACCUAUUCUGUGGAUUUACAAAGUUGUGCUAUACGUGCAACUCUCGCGUCCCUUCCCUUGCAUAGCACGCAGUUAUCCAGACAUCCAAGCUCUUUGUCACUGACCCUCUUUCCCUUACAAGGGCAGCAACUCUUUGCAAUGCUAGUACGUGGUUUUGGCAUACCAACAAUUCAACAUACUACGUGCUUACAUUCUGGUCUUCUGUUCAUCUCUGGUUUUCCCUCAACGUGCUAACCUCGACAGCACUCAUGCAUUUCAGAUUGAAUAUGAGGCCGGUCAUCCUUUGGCCAUUCCUUCUUAAUUUCUCAUAGUAUCUUCUUUCUCCUACGAAUUUCUUGUUUUUCUUUAGUUUUGAUUGCAUAUGGUCAACUUGCCGAUGGAUAGUCCGUCUUAGGGGGUGUUUGUUUCCAGGGACUUUUUUGUGUAGGGACUAGAAAAAGUCCCUUUUAGAGACUUUUUUACCAAACGGGAGAGACUUUUUAGAGACUAAACUAGGCAUUUGGGACUAAAUGAAGAAGACUCUCAAGGAGAGUCUUUUUGGGACUUUUUGGAACUUUUCCAACAAUGCCCCUCCAUGCACUUAUUGACCCGCCAUCCCAUGGUGUGGUUUGAUUGUUAUUUUUCUAUAUACUAGGGGCAACAUGUUCAUUUAAUAACCUCUAGAAAGGGACUAAGGACUUUUUAGUCUCUGAAAACAAACAGGGAGGGACUUUUUAGGGACUAGGGACUUUUUAGUUGAGACUAGAAAAAGUCGUAAGACUACAGAACCAAACACCACCUUAGUAUGAAGCCAUAUACGAAUUAAAUACUCGAUGAAGUUUUCUUCUUUUUAAAAAAGAAUGGCACUUUAGGGGACCUCCUUGGUACAAAGAAAAUUCAUGAGAUUAUUGUAGGAUUCUAUCUUUUAGGAAUUUUUCCUAUGUGAUGCGUUUUUUUCUUACUAAAUUAUAUAUUCAACAGAGUCCGGCAAAACAAAUACAUGAAUCAAUCCAAAACCAUCUUCCUGGACAUCUCUAUCGCUACAUCUAUAAGUUUGAUGAUGAGUCCUAACCUUGCGCCAAGGCAUAUCAUCUAAUAUGAUGGCCUUCAUCAAGCGACCCCAUAGAGAGCCGAUAGCACCAACCGGUUUACAGGACUCUCAACAUGCACUGCAUGCGCACGAUCUAGAAUCCAUCGCAGUCAUCUUCCAUUGUUCCACUUCAGGAAAGACCAACGACCUUGCUAGACCCAAUUGUCGUCGACGCCACCACGGCGCGAGACAACGCCAUCAUUGUGCCCACCACCGCAACGUAUAGGCGGUCCGACACCAUGUCCAGCAGCUUCCUGACCAUUGUCGCGUCGUCGGCGUCGUCCCGAGCCCGCAUAGUGUGCCGCCAUGCCUCCGAUUCUGCCGGCGUAUGCAUCCAGUGACUCGCCGUCUGCCAUGCGCAGCCGACUGAAGUCGCAGCGGAGCGUGGACAGCCGAGCCACCCUGACCCAAUCCACACCAAGGAAUCGUGCCUUGAGGCUCGUCCACAGCUCCGAUGUCGCCUCCUUCGACGACACCUGCAACAGAAUGUCCUCGGCGAGCGCUCCGAGUAGGUAAGCCCUCGUCGUCUUGUUCUUCUUCGGGUCGACCGCCAUCGUCGCGUCCGUCGGAGCCACCGCCCCCUACAGCCCAUGCGCGUCGAGGUUGGCCUCGACCUUGAUCGCCCACAUAGUGUAGUUGUCACCGAUGAGCGUCGGACACUCCAGGGACAACACGCUCCCUGCUUCGCCGCCGUACGGCACGAGCGACAUCGAUGGCGAUCAACAUCGAACUUUCGGUCUCACUAGUAGUAGAGGAGCGUCUAAGUGGCAAUACGAAAGAGAGUAAAUACUAAACAAAGCCACAAAGACUAGUUGUGCAUACUAGAUCAUACCUCAACCUAGAACCGGAUCAAUUACUCAAACAUGGAUGAAUAGACACACAAAGAGGAAUGAUUUGUAGCUGCCAUCAACAUGUUCAAUCUUACAAAAUACAUGUGCGAGGACGGAGAUGGAGAUGGGUAUCGACACGCCCUGCCUAUGCCCAGUGCUCUGUGAUGGCGGCGGAGCCUUCUCCUCCUCUUGUGUGGCCUUUGUGGAGAUGGUGAUGGAGGGAGAGGCCUCCCUCUAGAUGAGAUGGGAGAGCCUCCUGGUGACUGUGCGAACUUGUGGUGGAAUGAGGAUGAUGAUCCCGACAGCUAGGAUUGGAGCUCUUCAUAUAGGAGGCCUCUUCGGGUCUCCUCCAUUGAUGUAGCCUCCUCACUUUCAUCCACGGGCUCUAGGGGGGUCAAAUCCCUGCACAAAUGAUGCCUUAUGUGCCAAGGAUCCCGCAGGAACAAACCGGGACGAAACCAGAGCAAGAUCGGGAAGGUUAUGGCCAAUUUAUGAAGCUGUCUGGAGAUCAUACGAGCUCCCAUACGAGCAGCUAUGCUCGCAUGGAAGGCAGUCAUACGUUCUCGACUCAGGGAGCACUUCCGUAUUUUUGGUCGCCAUUUCGUCAUACGAACUCCGGGUUUGACGUUCCUGGGCUCGUUGGAUUCCUAGCAAAAAUCCUAACGCAUUUGUGGCCUUGGAUAUUCAAUUUGGACACUUUAAUAAAUUUCAAAAUAUCAAAUACUCCAUAGGGCCUUCGUCUGAUGCCUGGAACUUCUUCGAUUUAACUCCCAACUUGUUUUUUAUGUGUCAAGUCCAUGGACACGCCAGUACACCUACCGAACUUCUUCAGUUUAACUCCCAACUUGGUUUUUUUGAUGUGCCAAGUCCAUGGACAUGCCAAUACACCAACAAAGACCACAAAAAAUAGUAAAACUAAUUAAAAACUAAAUAAAAAUAAAAGUUGUGCAAUGAACUUGGUAAAAUGAGUAAACACCAAAAAUUAUGCAUUGGGGGCAUGUAUAAGUGCUACAUGGAUAUGAUAUGAGAGAUUUUGGCACUAAAAUACACUCUAAAAUUAUGCACAAAAUCCACUCAUCAUCUACUAAUUAUCAUCUUGUUGUGAUUACAAAGGUAAGUUUAAUCAGUGUUUUCAUAUGGACCACUUUAUUUUUCAUUGGGUUCAUACCGUAUCCAAUGCACCAGGUGAUAUCGUUGGAUGAGAGAAUCAUGACGUAAUGAUUGUCAACUUGUUGUGAUUACAAAGCUAAGUUUCAUCAAUGUUUUGUAUAUGUGUGCCGUCUUAUCAUCCUAAUGACUGAUCUUGAUGGACUCGUGAGGUUCCUGCAAUGAAAUACUCCCUUCGUUCCACAAUGUAGAAAAACAUUUAUAUUUAGAACCUCGCAAACUUUGGCAAAUUUCUAGAGAAAAAUAUUUACAUUUAGAAUGCCAUGAAUAUAUCAUUAGAUUCAUUAUAAUAAGUAGUUCCACAUUUAUAUAUUUGGUAUUAUAGAUAUAAAUAGUUUUGUCAAUAAAUUUGGUCAAAGUUUGCAAAGUUUCUGGAGGAAAUGGUAAGAAAUGAAAUAUUAAACCUUCUGGAGGCAGUUAUAAUCCUAUAGCUGAUAGUAGAUGGGUAGGUCUUGUUCAUUGUGUUCCUAAGAAAGGUGGCAUUACUGUUAUUCCUAAUGAUAAAAAGGAACUUAUCCCACAUAGAGUUGUUACUAGUUAUAGGAUGGUUAUUGAUUUUAUAAAAUUAAAUAAAGCUACUAGGAAGGAUCAUUAUCCUUUGCCUAUUAUUAAUCAAAUGCUAAAAAGAUUAUCUAAACAUACACACUUAUCCUUUCUAGAUGGUUAUUCUAGUUUCUCUCAAAUACCUAUUCAUCCUGAUGAUCAAGAGAAAACCACUUUUACUUGUCCUUUUGGAACUCAUGCUUAUAGACAUAUGCCUUGGUUUAUGCAAUGCACCUACUACCUUUCAAACAUGCAUAAGCACAACUGUCAUAUUUUUGAUUUCUGCAAUAAAAUUGUUGAAGUUUUCAUGGACAAUUCUCCAUCAAUGUGACUUAUUUUGAUGAUUGCAUGCACAAUCUUAACAAAGUCUUGCAGAUAUGUGAGGAAACUUAUCUUGUCUUGGACUGGGAGAUGUGCCACUUCAUGGUAAAUGAAGCUAUAGUCCUUGGUCAUAAUUUUUUUGAAAGAGGCAUCAAGGUCGAUAAAGCAAAGGUAGAUGAUAUUGAGAAAAUUUCAUGCCCUAGAGAUAUUAAAGGUAUAGGAAGUUUUCUUGGUCGUGUUAGUUUCUAUAAAAGGUUCAUUAAGGACAUUUCUAAAAUUUCUAGGCCUCUUACCCAUAUUUUACAAAAAAUAUGUUACAUUUGUUUUUGAUGAUGAUUGUAGAGAUGCCUCUGGAAUUCUUAAGAAAUCUUUCAUUACUGAUCCUAUUGUUCAAUCACCUGACUGGAAUUUACCUUUAGAAAUUGUGUGUGAUGCUAGUGACUAUGUUGUAGGGGUUGUCCUUGGUUAAAGAAUUGAUAAGAAAUGGAGUGCUAUUCAUUAUGCUAGCAAGACUCUGGACAAUGCCCAAAGAAAUUAUGCUACUACUGAGAAAGAAUAUUUAGCACUUGUCUUUGCUUGUAAUAAGUUUGGCCCUUACAUUGUUGAUUCUAAAGUAACCAUUCACACUGAUCAUGCUGCUAUUAAAUAUCUUAUGGAUGCUCAGCCUAGACUAAUUAGAUGAGUUCUUUUAUUACAAGAGUUUUAUUUGCAUAUUGUUGAUAGAAAGGGAGAUGAACAUCCUGUAACUGAUAUUUUUUCUAGGAAGGAAAAAAUAAUUGAUGAUCUUAUUCCUGUUAAUGAUAGUUUUCCGGAUGAGAAAUUAGUUGUUAGUAAUGCUUCCUCUCGUGAAAAUCCCUGGUAUGCUGAUUAUGCAAACUAUAUUGUUGCCAAAUACUUGCCACCUAACUUUACCUAUCAAAAAAUAAAAAAUCUUCUUUGAUUUAAGACAAUACUUUUGGGAUGACCCACAUUUGUAAAGAAAGAGUAGAUGGUAUUAGACAUUGUAUAACUAAGAAUGAGUAGGAACAAAUCUUGAGGAAGUGUCACUCCAGUCCAUAUUGAGGGCACCACGCUGGAGACAGAACUUCACAUAAGGUAUUACAAUCCAAUUUCUAUUGGCCUACCCUCUUUAAAGAUGCAAGUAAGUUUAUCCUAUCUUGUGAUGAGUGUCAAAGAGUUGGCAAUAUUGGUAGAUUUAAAGAAAUUCCUAUGAACUAUUCACUUGCUAUUAAACCUUUUAAUGUCUGGGGUUUUGAUUAUAUGGGACAUUUUCCUUCCUCGUAUAGUAAUACUCAUAUUUUAGUUGCUAUUAUGUCAUGUAUUGGGUAGAGGCUAUUCCAACUAAAAGUGUUGAUCCUAAUACUUCUAUUAAAAUGCUUAAAGAUGUUAUCUUUUUGAGCUUUAGUAUCCCUAGAUAUCUUAGGACUGAUGGUGGUUCACAUUUAAUUCAUGAUGCUUUCAGAAAAGUUGUGGCUAAAUAUGAUGUAAACCAUAGAGUAGCUUCACCUUAUCAUCCUUGGUCUAGUGGGCAAGUAGAAUUAAAAAACAAAGAGAUCAAACUAAUUUUGGAAAAUAUUUUUAAUAAAUCUAGAAAGAUUUGCUCUAAGAAACAAGAUGUUGCACUCUGGAUUAUAGAACUGCUUAUAAAAAUCCUACGAGAAUGUCCCCUAUAUGAUGGUUUGUGCAAAAGCAUGUCAUCUACCUUUUGAGUUAGAACAUAAAAGCUUAUUGGGCAAUUAAGGAAAUUAAUUAUGAUUUUGAACUUGCUGGAGAAAAUAGGCUACUUCACAUGAGUUCUUUGAGUGCAGAAUUGAAGCUUGUGAAGAUGCCAAGUUGUUCAAAGAAAAAUUUAAAAUAUGGUAUGAUAAAAGAAUUUAGAAAUGAGAGUUUAAUAUUGGUGAUAAACUCUUUUGUACAAGUCUCAUUCAGUCAUUUUGCAGGCAAACUUCUUUCCAAGUGGGAAGGACCCUACAUCAGGAAGAAGUUUACUGAUCCAGAGCUAUCAAAAUCUAUAAGACCAAAGGUAAUAAACUAAGGGUAGUUAAUGGGCAAAGAAUUAAGCAUUAUAUUUUCAGUAACCCCUUCGAGGUAGGUACGGACAUUAUACAAGCAAUCACACUGGAAGAAUACAUAAAAAACUUUUUGAAAGACUCCAAAAUCCUAAAAAGGAAGAGGUAUGUGAUACGGUAAGUAAACUGACUCUAAAAAUUUAUGACAGUGAGGUAAGCAUAAUGUGAUGACACCAUGAAUUUCUUGAGCAUCGGGUGCCCAGGAUGACAUUGUAUGGCAGGUUCAGCGCCGCGACAUGAAGACUAUGCUCUCUGUUCGAUAAUUAUCUUUGGUGUCGAAGGUGACCAUCAAGGACACGUGCCCGAUCGGCACAUUAAUCUCUAGGGGUAGCACCGAAGGAUUUGUCAGCUCCAAGCAUCCCAAGGAACUUGCAUCUUCUCAAAUAUUGCCCGGGGAGGGGGGUAUUGAGGCCUCAACCCCCGCCCACCAACAUGUUGGUGACCUUGAUGUUGCAGAUCGUUGUAGAAACCACCAAUGGAAGGUAUUCGAUGCCCAUCAUGCUCCUAGGGUGGUCUUUUUGGUUGAAUGUUAUAUGUGUUUCUGACCAUCUAAGCGGUCGAGAUGCGUCGAUGCUCGGGGCAUGACAUUAACCUCUAACGCCAACAAAUUGAAUUAUCUGGCAUAAAGUAGGCAUGAAGGCGUCAUUAUGUCUGCACACGACGAUCCUAGGACUUAGGUGAUACGUCUCCAACGUAUCUAUAAUUUUUGAUUGUUCCAUGAUGUUAUAUUAUCAAUCUUGGACGUUUUAUAAUAAUUUUAUAGUCAUUUUAUAUCAUUUUUUGGUACUAACCUAUUGACAUAGUGCCAAGUGCCAGUUGUUCUUUUUCCAUGUUUUUUACAUCGCAUAAAAUCAAUAUCAAAUGGAUUCCAAAUACCACGAAACUUUAUGGUGAUUUUUGAUGGACUAGAAGGAACGUAAUGGGCCCUGGCUGCGCCUGGGGGUGCCCCGAGGAGAGCACAACCCACCAGGGCGAGCCAGGAGGCCCAGGCGCGCACUGGUGGGUUGUUCCCACCUCGGGUGCCCCCCGAACCGCCUCUUUGCUCUAUAAGUACCCCAAUAUUCCAAAAACCCUAGGGGAGUCGACGAAAUAUUCAUCCAGCCGCCGGAAAGUCCAGAACCACCAGAUCCAAUCUAGACACCAUCUCGGAUGGGGUUCACCACCUCCAUUGGUGCCUCUCCGAUGAUGUGUGAGUAGUUCUUUAUAGAACUUCGGGUCCGUAGUUAGUAGCUAGAUGGCUUCCUCUCUCUCUCUCUCUCGAUUCUCAAUACAAUGGUCUCUUGGAGAUCCAUAUGAUGUAACUCUUUUUGCGGUGUAUUUGUUGGGAUCGAUGAACUUUGAGUUUAUGAUUAGAUGUAUCUUUUCAUAUCCAUGAAAGUAUUUGAGUUUCUUUGAUCUCUUUUAUGCAUGAUCUCUUAUAGCCUCAUAUUUCUACUUUGAUAUUUGGGUUUUGUUUGUCCAACUUGAUCUAUUUAUCUUGCAAUGGGAAGAGGUGCUUUGUAGUGGGUUCGAUCUUAUGGUGCUUGAUCCCAGUGACAGAAAGGGAACCGACACGUAUGUAUCAUUGCUACUAAGGAUAAAACGAUGGGGUCUAUCUCUACAUAGAUAGAUCUUGUCUACAUCAUGCCAUUAUUCUCAUUGCAUUACUCCGUUCUCCAUGAACUUAAUACACUAGAAGCAUGCUGGAUAGCGGUCAAUGUGUGGAGUACUAGUAGUAGAUGCAGGCAGGAGUCAGUCUACUAAUCUUGGACGUGAUGCCUACGUAAUGAUCAUUGCUAUCUUGAGAGAAGCCACUAGUGAAACCUAUGGCCCCCGGGUCUAUUUUCCAUAUACAAGUUUCCAAUCUAUUUUAUUUUUCAAUCUUUACUUUCAAUCUAUAUCAUAAAAAUACCAAAAAUAUUUAUCUUAUUAUUAUUAUUAUCUCUAUCAGAUCUCACUCUUGCAAGUGGCCGUGAAGGGAUUGACAACCCCUUUAUCGCGUUGGUUGCGAGGUUCUUAUUUGUUUGUGUAGGUAAGAGGUGACUCGCGCGUGGUCUCCUACUAGAUUGAUACCUUGGUUCUCAAAAACCGAGGCAAAUACUUACGCUGCUUUACUGCAUCACCCUUUCCUCUCCAAGGGAAAACCAAUGCAGUGCUCAAGCUCAUGUCAAUGGCAUAAUCAACUAGCGAGCAAUAAUAAUAAAUCUCGGAUGACAACACUUUUUCAAAACAAUCAUGAUAUAAUAUGGCAAAAUGGUAUCUCGCUAGCCCUUUCUGAGACCGCAAAACAUAAAUGCAGAGCACCAUGAAGAUCAAGGACUGACUAGACAUUAUAAUUCAUGGCAAAAGAGAUCGAGUCAGACUCAUACUCAAUAUCAAUUAAUAACAAAGCAUAUGAAUGACAGUGGUGCUCUCUAACUAGUGCUUUUUAUAAGAAGGUGAUGACUCAACAAAAAAAGUAAAUAGAUAGGCCCUUCGUAGAGGGAAGCAGGGAAUUGCAGAGGUGCCAGAGCUUGAGCUUUUAAAACAGAGAUGAAUAUAAUUUUGAGCGGUAUGCUUUCAUUGUCAACAUAACAACCAAGAUAUCUUGGUAUCUUCCAUGCUAGAUACAUUAUAGGCUGUUUCCAAAUAGAAAGGUAAAGUUUUUACUCCCCCUCCACCAACAAACACACUCCAUGGCUAACCGAAUCCAUGGCUACCGUCCAUACCAACAACAGUCCUGGGGCAGUUUUGUUUUAUAUUUAUAUUUUGAUUUGAUUCCGAGCAUUGAACUGGGCAUCCCGAUUACUAGCCAUUUUCUUGUGAAUGACAAGUGAAUAAACACUCAUCGUGAGAAUAACCCACCUAGCAUGGAAGAUACUGACAGCCCCCAAUCGCUAUAUGAGCGAUUCGGGCAUACAAAACAGAUUAUCAUUUGAAGGUUUAGAGUUUGGCACAUGCAAAUUUACUUGGAACGGCAGGAAAAUACCGCAUAUAGGUAGGUACGGUGGACUCAUAUGGAACACCUUUGGGUUUAAGGAAGUGGAUGCACAAGCAGUAUUCCUGCUUAGUACAAGUGAAGGCUAGCAAAAGAUUGAGGAGCGACCAACUAGAGAGCGACAACGGUCAUAAACAUGCAUUGAGAUUAACCAACAUUGAGUGCAAGCAUGAGUAGGACAUAAAUCACCAUGAACAUAAAUAUCGUAGAGGAUAUGUUGUUUUUUGUUUCAACUACAUGUGUGAACAUGUGCCAAGUCAAGCCACUCGAAUCAUUCAAAGGAGGAUACCAUCCUAUCAUACUACAUCACAACCAUUUUAAAAGCAUGUUGGCAAGCAAGGUAAAUCAUUAUCAACUCCUAGCUAAUUAAGCAUGGCAUGAGUAACUAUAAUCUCCAAUUGUCAUUGCAAACAUGUUUCAUUCAUAAUGGGCUGAAUCAAGAAAGAUGUGUUGGGUUUCGUAGUAAUUUCAAAAAAUUUCCUACGCACACGCAAGAUCAUGUGAUGCAUAGCAACGAGAGGGGAGAAUGCUGUCUAUGUACCCACGCAGACCGACUGCGGAAGCGUUGACACAACAUAGAGGAAGUAGUCGUAUGUCUUCACGAUCCAACCGAUCAAGCACCGAAACUACGGCACCUCCGAGUUCGAGCACACGUUCAGCUCGAUGACGAUCCCCAGACUCCGAUCCAGCAAAGUGUCGGGGAAGAGUUCCGUCAGCACGACGGCGUGGUGACGAUCUUGAUGUACUACAGCAGCAGGGCUUCACCUAAACUCCGCUACAGUAUUAUUGAGGACUAUGGUGGCUGGGGGCACCGCACACGGCUAAGGAAUAGAUCACGUGGAUCAACUUGUGUUUCUUGAUCUGUCUUUGGUGCUAGCCCUGCCCCUCUAUUUAUAUCUUGAGCCCUGGGGUCGAAACUUGGAGUUAAAGCCUUCACAAAGUCGGUUUCACCCGAUAGGCAAGAGUCCUUCUCGGACUCCAGGGCCAGACGCCAGGGAUCCCGGCGUCUGGACCCAGACGCCAGGGACCCUGGCGUCUGGCCCCUGGACUCCGCAAAACUUCCUUUUGCGCUUUCCAAAUACCUUGUGGGCUUUCCCCUUUGGCCCAAAUAAAGUGUUCUCGUACCCAAACAUUUCGGGAAACAUCCGGAACCCCUUCCGGUGAUUUCCGGAACCCUUCCGGUGACCAAACACUAUUAUCAUAUAUAUCAAACUUUAUCUCCGGACCAUUCCGGAGUUCCUCAUCAUGUCCGUGAUCUCAUCUCGGACUCCGAACAACAUUCGGUACAUCAAAAUGCAUUAAACUCAUAACAACUAUCAUCGUAACUUUAAGCGUGCGGACCCUACGGGUUCGAGAACAAUGUAGACAUGACCAAGACACGUCUCCGGUCAAUAACCAAUAGCGGGACCUGGAUGCCCAUAUUGGCUCCUACAUAUUCUACGAAGAUCUUUAUCGGUCAGACCGCAUAACAACAUACGUUGUUCCCUUUGUCAUCGGUAUGUUACUUGCCCGAGAUUCGAUCGUCGGUAUCCAAUACCUAGUUCAAUCUCGUUACCGACAAGUCUCUUUACUCGUUCCGUAAUACAUCAUCUCACAACUAACAUAUUAGUUGUAAUGCUUGCAAGGCUUAUGUGAUGUGCAUUACCGAGAGGGCCUAGAGAUACCUCUCUGACAAUCGGAGUGACAAAUCCUAAUCUCGAAAUAUGCCAACCCAACAUCUACCUUUGGAGACACCUGUAAUGCUCCUUUAUAAUCACCCAUUUACGUUGUGACGUUUGGUAGCACCCAAAGUGUUCCUCCGGUAAACGGGAGUUGCAUAAUCUCAUAGUUAUAGGAACAUGUAUAAGUCAUGAAGAAAGCAAUAGCAACAUACUAAACGAUCGGGUGCUAAGCUAAUGGAAUGGGUCAUGUCAAUCAGAUCAUUCUCUUAAUGAUGUGAUCCCGUUAAUCAAAUAACAACUCAUUGUUCAUGGUUAGGAAACAUAACCAUCUUUGAUUAACGAGCUAGUCAAGUAGAGGCAUACUAGUGACACUUUGUUUGUCUAUGUAUUCACACAUGUAUUAUGUUUCCGGUUAAUACAAUUCUAGCAUGAAUAAUAAACAUUUAUCAUGAUUAUAAGGAAAUAAAUAAUAACUUUAUUAUUGCCUCUAGGGCAUAUUUCCUUCAGUCUCCCACUUGCACUAGAGUCAAUAAUCAAGUUCACAUCGCCAUGUGAUUUAACAGCAAUAGUUCACAUCACCAUGUGAUUAACACCCAUAGUUCACAUCGAUAUGUGAUCAACACCCAAAGGGUUUUACUAGAGUCAGUAAUCUAGUUCACAUCGCUAUGUGAUUAACACCCAAAGAGUACUAAGGUGUGAUCAUGUUUUGCUUGUGAGAUAAUUUUAGUCAACGGGUCUGUCACAUUUAGAUCCGUAAGUAUUUUGCAAAUAUUUAUGUCAACAAUGCUCUGCACGGAGCUACUCUAGCUAAUUGCUCCCACUUUCAAUAUGUAUCUAGAUCGAGACUUAGAGUCAUCCAGAUCUGUGUCAAAACUUGCAUCGACGUAACCUUUUACGACGAACCUUUUUGUUCACCUCCAUAAUUGAGAAAUAUUUCCUUAUUCCACUAAGGAUAAUUUUGACCGCUGUCCAGUGAUCUACUCUUAGAUCACUAUUGUACUCCCUUGCUUAAAAUAGUGUAGGGUAUACAAUAGAUCUGGUACACAGCAUGGCAUACUUUAUAGAACCUAUGGCUGAGGCAUAGGGAAUGACUUUCAUUCUCUUUCUAUCUUCUGCCGUGGUCGGGCUUUGAGUCUUACUCAACUUCACACCUUGUAAUACAGGCAAGAACUCUUUCUUUGACUGCUCCAUUUUGAACUACUUCAAAAUCUUGUCAAGGUAUGUACUUAUUGAAAAAACUUAUCAAGUGUCUUGAUCUAUCUCUAUAGAUCUUGAUGCUCAAUAUGUAAGCAGCUUCACCGAAGUCUUUCUUUGAAAAACUCCUUUCAAACACUCCUUUAUGCUUUACAGAAUAAUUCUACAUUAUUUCCGAUCAACAAUACGUCAUACACAUAUACUUAUCAGAAAUGUUGUAGUGCUCCCACUCACUUUCUUGUAAAUACAGGCUUCACCGCAAGUCUGUAUAAAACUAUAUUCUUUGAUCAACUUAUCAAAACGUAUAUUCCAACUCCGAGAUGCUUGCACCAGUCCAUAGAUGGAUCGCUGGAGCUUGCAUAUUUUGUUAGCACCUUUGGGAUUGACAAAACCUUCUGGUUGUAUCAUAUACAACUCUUCUUUAAUAAAUCCAUUAAGGAAUGCAGUUUUGUUUAUCCAUUUGCCAGAUUUCAUAAAAUGCGGCAAUUGCUAACAUGAUUCAGACAGACUUAAGCAUAGAUACGAGUGAGAAAAUCUCAUCGUAGUCAACACCUUGAACUUGUCGAAAACCUUUUGCGACAAUUCUAGCUUUGUAGAUAGUAACACUACUAUCAGCGUCCGUCUUCCUCUUGAAGAUCCAUUUAUUUUCUAUGGCUUGCCGAUCAUCGGGCAAGUCAACCAAAGUCUAUACUUUGUUCUCAUACAUGGAUCCCAUCUCAGAUUUCAUGGCCUCAAGCCAUUUUGCGGAAUCUAGGCUCAUCAUCGCUUCCUCAUAGUUCGCAAGUUCGUCACGGUCUAGUAACAUGACUUCCAGAACAGGAUUACCGUACCACUCUGGUGCGGAUCUCACUCUGGUUUACCUGUGAGAUUCGUUAGUAACUUGAUCUGAAGUUACAUGAUCAUCAUCAUUAGCUUCCUCAAUAAUUGGUGUAGUAGUCACAGGAACAGAUUUCUGUGAUGAACUACUUUCCAAUAAGGGAGAAGGUACAAUUACCUUAUCAAGUUUUUACUUUCCUCCCACUCACUUCUUUCGAGAGAAACUCCUUCUCUAGAAAGUUUUCGAAUUUAGCAACAAAAGUCUUGCCUUCGGAUCUGUGAUAGAAGGUGUAUCCAAUAGUUUCCUUUGGAUAUCCUAUGAAGAUUUACUUCUCCGAUUUGGGUUCGAGCUUAUCAUGUUGAAACUUUUUCACAUAAGCAUCGCAGUCCCAAACUUUAAGAAACGACAACUUUGGUUUCUUGCCAAACCACAGUUCAGAUUGCGUCGUCUCAACGGACUCAGAUGGUGCCCUAUUUAACGUGAAUGUAGCUGUCUCUAAUGCAUAACCCCAAAACGAUAGUGGUAGAUCGGUAAGAGACAUCAUAGAUCGCACCAUAUCUAAUAAAGUACGGUUAUGACGUUCGGACACACCAUUACAUUGUGGUGUUCCAGGUGGCGUGAGUAGUGAAACUAUUUCACAUUAUUUUUAACUGAAGGCCAAACUCGUAACUCAAAUACUCUUCUCUACGAUCAGAUCGUAGAAAUUUUAUUUUCUUGUUACGAUGAUUUUUCACUUCACUCUGAAAUUCUUUGAACUUUUCAAAUGUUUCAGACUUAUGUUUCAUCAAGUAGAUAUACUCAUAUCUUCUCAAAUCAUCUGUGAAGAUCAGAAAAUAAUGAUACUUGUCGCGAGCCUCAAUAUUCAUCGGACCACAUACAUCAGUAUGUAUGAUUUCCAACAAAUCUGUUGCUCGCUCCAUUGUUCCGUAGAACAGAGUCUUAGUCAUCUUGCCCAUGAGGCAUGGUUCGCACGCAUCAACUGAUUCAUAAUCAAGUGAUUCCAAAAGCCCAUCAGCAUGGAGUUUCUUCAUGCGCUUUACACCAAUAUGACCUAAACGGUAGUGCCACAAAUAAGUUGCACUAUCAUUAUUAACUUUGCAUCUCUUGGUUUCAAUAUUAUGAUUAUGUGUAUCACUAUGAUCGAGAUCCAACGAACUAUUUUCAUUGGGUGUGUAACCAUAUAAGGUUUUAUUCAUGUAAACAGAACAACAAUUUAUUCUCUUACUUAAAUGAAUAACCGUAUUACAAUAAACAUGAUCAAAUCAUAUUCAUGCUCAACGCAAACACCAAAUAACACUUAUUCAGGUUCAACACUAAUCCCGAAAGUAUAGGGAGUGUGCGAUGAUGAUCAUAUCAAUCUUGGAACUACUUCCAACACACAUCGUCACUUCACCCUUAACUAGUCUCUAUUUAUUCUGCAACUCCUGUUUCGAGUUACUAAUCUUAGCAACUGAACUUGUAUCAAAUACUGAGGGGUUGCUAUAAACACUAGUAAAGUACACAUCAAUAACAUGUAUAUCAAAUAUACUUAUGUUCACUUUGCCAUCCUUCUUAUCUGCCAAUCACUUGGGGUAGUUCCGCUUCCAGUGACCAGUCCCUUUGCAGUAGAAACACUUAGUCUCAGGCUUAGGACCAGACUUGGGCUUCUUCACUUGAGCAGCAACUUGCUUGCUGUUCUUCUUGAAGUUCCCCUUCUUCCCUCUGCCCUUUUCUUGAAACUAGUGGUCUUGUCUACCAUCAACACUUGAUGUUUUUCUCGAUUUCUACCUUCGUCAAUUUCCGCAUUACGAAGAGCUUGGGAAUCGUUUCUGUUAUCCCUUGCAUAUCAUGGUUCAUCACAAAGUUCUACUAACUUGGUGAUGGUGACUAGAGAAUUAUGUCAAUCACUAUCUUAUCUGGAAGAUUAACUCCCACUUGAUUCAAGCGAUUGUUGUACUCAGACAAUCUGGGCACAUGCUCACUAGUUGAGCGAUUCUCCUCCAUCUUUUAGCUAUAGAACUUGUUGGAGACUUUCAUAUCUCUCAACUCGGGUAUUUGCUUGAAAUAUUAACUUCAACUCCUGGAACAUCUCAUAUGCUCCAUGAUGUUCAAAACGUCUUUGAAGUCCUGAUUCUAAGCCAUUAAGCAUGGUGCACUAAACUAUCAAGUAGUCAUCAUAUUGAGCUAGCCAAACGUUCAUAACAUCUGCAUCUGCUCUUGCAAUAGGUCCGUCACCUAGCGGUGCAUCAAGGAGAUAAUUCUUCUGUGCAGCAAUGAGGAUAAACCUCAGAUCACAGAUGCAAUCCGCAUCAUUGCUACUAACAUCUUUCAACACAAUUUUCUCUAGGAACAUAUCAAAAUAAACAUAUGAAAGCAACAACGCGAGCUAUUGAUCUACAACAUAAUUUGCAAAAUACUACCAGGACUAAGUUCAUGAUAAAUUUAAGUUCAAUUAAUCAAAUUACUUGAAGAACUCCCACUUAGAUAGACAUCCCUCUAAUCCUCUAAGUGAUCACGUGAUCCAAAUCAACUAAACCAUAACCGAUCAUCACGUGAAAUGGAGUAGUUUUCAAUGGUGAACAUCGUUAUGUUGAUCAUAUCUACUAUAUGAUUCACGCUCGACCUUUCGGUCUUCGUGUUCCGAGGCCAUAUCUGUAUAUGCUUAGCUCGUCAAGUAUAACCUGAGUAUUCCGCGUGUGCAACUGUUUUGCACCCGUUGUAUUUGAACGUAGAACCUAUCACACCCGAUCAUCAUGUGGUGUCUCAGCACGAAGAACUUUCGCAACGGUGCAUACUCAGGGAGAACACUUCUUGAUAAUUUAGUGAGAGAUCAUCUUAUAAUGCUACCGUCAAUCAAAGCAAGAUAAGAUGCAUAAAAGGAUAAACAUCACAUGCAAUCAAUAUAAGUGAUAUGAUAUGGCCAUCAUCAUCUUGUGCUUGUGAUCUCCAUCUCCGAAGCACCGUCGUGAUCACCAUCGUCACCGGCGUGACACCUUGAUCUCCAUCGUAGCAUCAUUGUCGUCUCGCCAAGCUUGUGCUUCCACGACUAUCACUACCGCUUAGUAAUAAAGUAAAACAUUACAUCGCGAUUUCAUUGCAUACAAUAAAACGACAACCAUAAGGCUCCUGCCAGUUGCCGAUAACUCAGUUACAAAACAUGAUCAUCUCAUACAAUAAAAUUCAGCAUCAUGUCUUGACCAUAUCACAUCAUAACAUGCCCUGCAAAAACAAGUUAGACGUCCUCUACUUUGUUGUUGCAAGUUUUACGUGGCUGCUACGGGCUUAAGCAAGAACCAAUCUCACCUACGCAUCAAAACCACAACGAUAGUUUGUCAAAUAGACUCCGUUUUAACCUUCGCAAGGACCGGGCGUAGCCAUACUUGGUUCAACUAAAGUUGGAGAGACAGUCGCCCGCAAGCCACCUAUGUGCAAAGCACGUCGGGGGAACCGGUCUUGUGUAAGCGUACGCGUAAUGUUGGUCCGGGUCGUCUCGUCCAACAAUGCCGCCGAACCAAAGUAUGACAUGCUGGUAGGCAGUAUGACUUAUAUCGCCCACAACUCACUUGUGUUCUACUCGUGCAUAUAACAUCAACAUAAAUAACCUAGGCUCAGAUGCCACUGUUGGGUUUCGUAGUAAUUUCAAAAAAUUUCCUACGCACACGCAAGAUCAUGUGAUGCAUAGCAACGAGAGGGGAGAAUGUUGUCUACGUACCCACGUAGACCGACUGCAGAAGCGUUGACACAACGUAGAGGAAGUAGUCGUACGUCUUCACGAUCCAACCGAUCAAGCACCGAAACUACCGCACCUCUGAGUUCGAGCACACGUUCAGCUCGAUGACGAUCCCCGGACUCCGAUCCAGAAAAGUGUCGGGGAAGAGUUCCGUCAGCACGACGGCGUGGUGACGAUCUUGAUGUACUACAGCAGCAGGGCUUCACCUAAACUCCGCUAUAGUAUUAUUGAGGACUAUGGUGGCUGGGGGCACCGCACACGGCUAAGGAAUAGAUCACGUGGAUCAACUUGUGUUUCUUGAUCUGUCUUUGGUGCUAGCCCUGCCCCUCUAUUUAUAUCUUGAGCCCUGGGGUCGAAACUUGGAGUUAAAGCCUUCACAAAGUCGGUUUCACCCGAUAGGCAAGAGUCCUUCUCGGACUCCAGGGCCAGACGCCAGGGAUCUCGGCGUCUGGACCCAGACGCCAGGGACCCUGGCGUCUGGCCCCUGGACUCCGCAAAACAUCCUUUUGCGCUUUCCAAAAACCUUGUGGGCUUUCCCCUUUGGCCCAAAUAAAGUGUUCUCGUACCCAAACAUUUCGAGAAACAUCCGGAACCCCUUCCGGUGAUUUCCGGAACCCUUCCGGUGACCAAACACUAUUAUCAUAUAUAUCAAACUUUAUCUCCGGACCAUUCCGGAGUUCCUCGUCAUGUCCGUGAUCUCAUCUCGGACUCCGAACAACAUUCGGUACAUCAAAAUGCAUAAAACUCAUAACAACUGUCAUCGUAACUUUAAGCGUGCGGACCCUACGGGUUCGAGAACAAUGUAGACAUGACCGAGACACGUCUCCGGUCAAUAACCAAUAGUGGGACCUGGAUGCCCAUAUUGGCUCCUACAUAUUCUACAAAGAUCUUUAUCGGUCAGACCGCAUAACAACAUACGUUGUUCCCUUUGUCACCGGUAUGUUACUUGCCCGAGAUUCGAUCGUCGGUAUCCAAUACCUAGUUCAAUCUCGUUACCGACAAGUCUCUUUACUCGUUCCGUAAUACAUCAUCUCACAACUAACAUAUUAGUUGUAAUGCUUGCAAGGCUUAUGUGAUGUGCAUUACCGAGAGGGCCCAGAGAUACCUCUCCAACAAUCGGAGUGACAAAUCCUAAUCUCGAAAUAUGCCAACCCAACAUCUACCUUUGGAGACACCUGUAAUGCUCCUUUAUAAUCACCCAUUUAUGUUGUGACGUUUGGUAGCACCCAAAGUGUUCCUCCAGUAAACGGGAGUUGCAUAAUCUCAUAGUUAUAGGAACAUGUAUAAGUCAUGAAGAAAGCAAUAGCAACAUACUAAAUGAUCGGGUGCUAAGCUAAUGGAAUGGGUCAUGUCAAUCAGAUCAUUCUCUUAAUGAUGUGAUCCCGUUAAUCAAAUAACAACUCAUUGUUCAUGGUUAGGAAACAUAACCAUCUUUGAUUAACGAGCUAGUCAAGUAGAGGCAUACUAGUGACACUUUGUUUGUCUAUGUAUUCACACAUGUAUUAUGUUUCCGGUUAAUACAAUUCUAGCAUGAAUAAUAAAUAUUUAUCAUGAUUAUAAGGAAAUAAAUAAUAACUUUAUUAUUGCCUCUAGGGCAUAUUUCCUUCAAGAUGAACUAAUCAUAUUUACAAAAAUAAAAUAGGUCGAGUUCGUACCAGCUUUUCUCCAUCUCAAUCAUUUCAUCAUAUAUCAUCAUUGCCGGAAUUUUGUCUAUUUUGGGCUUAGUCCAAUAGCAUUUCAGAAAUUCCUAAUAAAUCCUAGAGGCCCACGCAACCCAUUCGUGCAAGGCAAGAGGUGGAACUAAAGUUUAGUCCCACAUUGCUAGUUUAGUGGGAGUUGGACCUCCUUAUAAGGGAGGUUCUUUCCCCACUUGUAUGAGCAUGAGAACAAGAGGGAUAUCCACGCGCGCUCCUCCUCCGCCGCCCGCCACGCCACGCCACACCACGCCUCAUCACGACACGCCGCGGGUUGCGGGAAUGAGCCGAGCCGAUGUCUAAUUUUUUGCCACGCACUACGGGUAUACAAAAGGUCACUCAGGAGCUGGAAAGUUUUUGUUGUACUGUAUAUUGAAUACGAACGCUGCACCACUCGGCUGCUGUCUAUUCAUUUCGUCUCCCAUGUUCCCUUCAGCUCCCGGCGCAGCCUCUUGCCUCCUUCUCUUGCGCCUAUAAAAGGGAGGUCGCUCCUCUCAGAGAGACGCACCAGAACUUCUCCUUCCUAUCGCCACCAGUUCCAAUCUCUGAGCUGUUGUUGUCUUCCUCAUCCCGUCUUGCGGCAUGAACCGCGAGUCGGGACAGUAGGCCUUCGAAACCGCACCUCUUUGUGUCAUGUAUGGGAGAAGGGUGAUAAGGUUUUUGGGGAGCGCUUAGCGCGACUACUGACUUCUUCAUCACGGAUGCCUCGGACUCCGACGACUACUUCCCCGACGUCGACAACCUCCUCGACGACAUGGCUGGCAAGGACAUCGACCCCAAGUCUAGUACUACUGCUGCUGCUGUCACGUAUGUGUUCUUCUUCUUCUUCUUCUUCUUUCUUUUAGAUGUCCUGCCACAAUUUCUCAUACUAUUACUUGCCCUAGAUGUGUUAGGUUCUACUCCAUAUAUGCAACUAGCUCUAUUGUCUGCUCUAGAUAUGCUAGGCUACAGUUCAUAUAUGCAGAUGUUUUUUACCUUCUCUCUGUCAGAAUGCAUGACUUGUUUUAUCUCUACUAUAUUAGUCAUGCUUUAUCUAGUAUUUCUGUUAAUAAAAUCAUUUGGUAAAUUGCUCAUAUUUCCAACAAUCCAAAAACCUUAUUAUAGGAAAUUUACCCCAAGUGGUUUUGCUGCUUCCAUGAGAGCUCCUAUGUUUGAGGGUAUCCACUAUAAGAGGUGGCGCGUGAGAGCAGUCUUAUGGUUUCAAACCAUGAGUUUCUAUGACGCCACGCUUGGCAAUCCUGAAGGGGAGUUUGAUGCCCAACAGGAACAAGCUUUUCAAAAAAUGGAUACUUUGUUUAAGGCUGCUCUCUUGAGUGUUCUUGGUGAGAACAUAGUUGAUGCUUAUGCAUCAAUUGACAAUGGAAAAGAUAUGUGGGACGCACUCGAGGCCAAGUUUGGGGUCUCGGAUGCCGACACUGAGCUGUACAUCAUGGAGCAAUUCUAUGAUUACAGGAUGAAUGAAGAGCGCUCCGUGGUUGAGCAAGCUCAUGAGAUACAAUCAUUUGCUAGAGAACUUGAGCACUUCAACUGUAUGCUACCGGACAAGUUUGUUGCCGGAGGUAUCAUCACCAAGCUUCCUCCUUCAUGGAGGAACUUUGCUACCUUACUGAAGCAUAAGAGACAGGAGUUUUCCGUUCCGGAUCUCAUUGGUACUCUUGAUGUCGAAGAAAAAGUGAGAGCAAAGGACGCACGUGCUCGAGGUAUUGAGGGAGGAUCUAGUGCCAAUCUGGUACAGAAGAAGAACUUCCAGCCCCACAAGUUCAAGAACAAGGGCAAGCUUGAUGGUAAAGCAAAAAUUGAUGGGAAGAACAAGGCUGUGCAACACACGAACUUCAAGAAGAAGAAUGACGAGAAGAAAGGUGUUUGUCAUGUGUGUGGGGGUCCUGAUCAUUGGGCUCCUAGUUGCGCUAAUCGCUAUGACAAGCGUCAUCCUGGGAAAGGCGGCAAGACUGCUAAUGUUGUCAUUGGAGACAUUGACAUGAAGGAUGCUAGGUAUGGUAUAUUUCCCACUAUUCUUUCAAUAUGUCAUUCUCUUGAUUGGUUGAUUGACACGGGUGCUAAUGUGCAUGUAUGCGGUGAUAUUUCCAUGUUUUCAUCUUAUCAGACCGCAGGGACUUCAACGUGCUGAUGGGCAACGGUUCAAGUGCUUCUGUUCGUGGUGUUGGCACGGUCGAUCUAAAGUUUACUUCGGGUAAGAUCGUGCGGCUGAAGAGCAUGCAUUAUGUCCCCUCCGUCAAUAAAAAUCUUGUUAGCGGAUCUCUUCUGUGUAGAGAUGGCUAUAAGCUUGUCUUUGAGUUGAAUAAAUUUCUAAUAUCCAAGUAUGGAACUUUGUUGGUAAAGGCUAUGAGUCUAGAGGUCUGUUUCGUUUAUCCUUAUCAGACGUUUGCAAUAAAGUUGUUAAUCAUGUUUGCAACAAUAGUGAAUCAAAUGUGUGGCAUUCACGUCUUCGUCAUGUUGACUUUCGUUGCAUGUCGCGACUAGUGAAGUUGAACUUAAUCCCUAUUUCACCACUGUCAAGGGAUCUAAGUGUCAAGUUUGUGUGCAAGCUAAGCAACCUCAUAAGUCUCACACGACUGCGGAAACAAGAAAUCGUGCACCACUAGAGCUCAUACAUCCAGAUCUAUGUGAAAUGAAUGGUGUUUUGACAAAAGGUGGAAAGAAAUAUUUCAUGAAGUUAAUUGACGACUCCACUAGAUACUGUCGUGUGUAUCUUCUGAAAUCUAAGGAUGAGGCUUUGGACUUUUUCAAGAUCUAUAAAGCUGAAGUGGAAAACCAACUUGAUCAAAAAAUCAAGAGGCUUAGGUCCGACCGUGGUGGAGAGUAUUUUUCAAAUGAAUUUGAUGCUUUUUGUGUGGAACAUGGUAUAAUCCAUGAGAGGACGCCUCCCUACUCACCUCAGUCAAAUGGGGUGGCCGAAAGAAAGAACCGUACUCUAACUGAUUUGGUUAAUGCCAUGUUAGACACAUCGGGUCUUUCCAAGGCAUGGUGGGGGGGAGGCGAUAUUGACAGCAUGUCUUGUCCUAAACCGAGCCCCCACAAAGAACAAAGAGAUAACUCCAUUCGAGGAAUGGGAGAAGAAAAUGUUAAAUCUCUCUUAUCUACGAACCUAGGGUUGUUUGGCAAAAGUCAAUGUGCCAAUUCCAAAGAAGCACAAGCUUGGACCAAAGACUGUGGAUUGUGUUUUCCUGGGAUAUGCUUUUCAUAGCAUUGGCUAUAGAUUCUUGGUUGUAAAAUCUGAGGUACCUGACAUGCAUGUCGGUACGAUCAUGGAGUCGAAUGAUGCGACUUUCUUUGAAGAUAUCUUUCCCAUGAAGGAUAUGGCUACCUCAUCUAAUCAGGAGAUGCCUAGUUCAUCGAAUCAGGAACCAGUUACAUUUACUGAACCUGCCAUUUCGGUGGAACACUUUGAAAAUCAUGUGGAGGAGAACAAUGAAGUUCCUACUAGGAGCAAGAGACAGAGGACUGCAAAGUCCUUUGGUAAUGAUUUUCUUGUGUAUCUCAUAGAUGAUACUCCCAGUUCUAUUUCAGAGGCCUAUGCAUCUGAAGAUGAUGACUACUGGAAGGAAGCGGUUCGUAGCGAGAUGGAUUCCAUCUUGGCGAAUGAAACUUGGGAGAUAAUUGAUCGUCCUUAUGAGUGCAAACCUAUAGGAUGCAAAUGGGUAUUCAAGAAGAAGCUUAGGCAUGAUGGUACUAUUGAAAAGUACAAGGCUCGGCUCGUGGCUAAGGGUUAUACCCAAAAAUAAGGUGAAGACUUCUUUGAUACUUACUCACAUGUGGCUCGACUGACCACUAUUCGAGUUCUACUUUCACUAGCCGCCUCACAUGGUCUUCUCUUUCAUCAAAUUGAUGUUAAGACUGCUUUCCUAAAUGGAGGGUUGGACAAGGAAAUUUACAUGGAACAACUAGAUGUGUUUGUACUAGAUGGUGAGGAAGGAAAAGUGUGCAAGUUGCUGAAGUCUUUGUAUGGACUCAAGCAAGCACCCAAACAAUGGCAUAAGAAGUUUGAAAGAACUUCAACAGCUGCAGGCUUUGUUGUAAACAAAGCUGACAAAUGUGUGUACUAUCGCCAUGGUGGGGGCGAGGGAGUUAUCCUUUGCUUGUAUGUUGAUGACAUACUGAUUUUUGGAACAAAUAUGAAUGUAAUUAAGGAGGUCAAGGAUUUCCUAUCUCGCUGUUUUGAUACGAAGGAUUUAGGAGUGGCUGAUGUCAUUCUGAACAUCAAGUUGUUGAGAGACGAUGAUGGUGGGAUUACAUUACUUCAAUCUCACUAUGUGGAAAAGAUCUUGAGUCGCUUUGGCUAUAGUGACUGCAAGCCCUCUCCAACACCAUAUGAUGCGAGUGUGUUACUUCGAAAGAAUCAAAGAAUUGCUAGAGAUCAAUUGAAGUAUUCUCAGAUUAUUGGCUCGCUUAUGUACUUAGCCAGUGCUACAAGACCUGACAUCUCUUUUGCUGUUAGCAAACUGAGUCGGUUUGUCUCAAAACCAGGAGAUGUGCAUUGGAAAGCUCUAGAGAGAGUUUUGCAUUAUUUGAAAGACACUGCAAAUUAUGGAAUUCACUACACUGGGCACCCAAAGGUGCUUGAAGGGUAUAGUGAAUCAAAAUGGAUCUCAGAUGCUGAUGAGAUAAAGGCCAUGAGAGGAUAUGUAUUCACUCAUGGAGGUGGCGCUAUUUCUUGGAAGUCUUGCAAGCAGACCAUCUUAACAAGGUCAACAAUGGAAGCAGAACUCACAGCACUAGAUACAACUACGGUCAAAGCAGAUUGGCUUCACCGGCUCUUGAAUGACUUGCCGGUUAUUGAGAAACCUGUAUCGAGUAUCCUUAUGAACUACGCCAAUCAAACUGUGAUCACGAAAGUGAGCAGCUCAAAGGAUAACAUGAAGUCAUCAAGACACGUUCAGAGAAGGUUAAAGUCUGUUAGGAAAAUGAGAAACUCCGGAGUAAUUGCAUUGGAUUAUAUCCAAACGUCUAAAAAUCUGGCAGAUCCUUUUACUAAGGGCCUAUCACGUAAUGUGAUAGAUAAUGCAUCGAGGGAGAUAGGUAUGAGCCCACAAUAUGAGUUGUUCACAAUGGUAACCUAGUCUAUGUGAUCGGAGAUCCCGUGAAUUAGAUGUGGAAGACAAGUUGUUGGUCAACUGAGAGGGGAGUAUCCUUAUUGUUAACAAUACCACUCCAUGAAGAUGCAAUACUCUCCUAAAUCUGCAUGGCAGGUUGAUGUAUAUCUUAAUGUGUUCUAGGUGGCUCAUUUAAGCAGAGAUGUUGUCCUGCAGAACAUCUUUUGAAGAACACACCUAUAUGAGUCCGAUUGUCAAUCGUCGCAAUCUAUGAGAGUAGGGUUCUCUCUAGUAAACUCAUGAAAGGUCACGAAGUAUGACGCAUAAGCUCCACCCGCGGGGAAGACCCAUGGUAGCCUAGUAUCGAUCAAGGCUUUGUGUGAAGCUAGAUUCGCAGAAAACUUGCAGUUCAAGGCCUAGUCCACUGUUCAAGUUGCCUACUAGUGUAGCAUAGAGUUCUAGGUGGAAGUUCAACUUAACAGUCUCCACUGCAAUACCGGUAUAUAAAACAGUGUUUUGGAACCAAAGGCAAAUUUUGUGUGCCUCUGGGAUCUGGUGGGGGAUUGCUGGAAUUUUGUCUAUUUUGGGAUUAGUCCAAUAGUAGUUUCAGAAAUUCCUAAUAAAUCCUAGAGGCCCACGCAGCCCAUUCGUGCAAGGCAAGAGGUGGAACUAAAGUUUAGUCCCACAUUGCUAGUUUAGUGGGAGUUGGACCUCCUUAUAAGGGAGGUUCUUUCCCCACUUGUAUGAGCAUGAGAACAAGAGGGAUAUCCACGCGCGCUCCUCCUCCUCCGCUCGCCUCGCCAUGCCACGCAACGCCUCGUCACGCCGCAGGUUGCGGGAAUGAACCGAGCGAACGAUGCACCCUUCGGCUGCUGUCGGUUCAUUUCGUCUCCCACGUUCCCUUAAGCUCCCGACGCAGCCUCUCGCCUCCUUCUCUUGCGCUAUAAAAGGGAGGUCGCUCCUCUCAGAGAGACGCACUAGAACUUCUCCUUCCUCUCGCCACCGGUUCCAAUCUUUGAGCUGCUGUUGUCUUCCUCAUCCCGGCUUGCGGCGUGCACCAUGAGUCGGGACAGUAGGCCUCCGAAACCGCACCUCUUUGAGUCUUCUAUAGGAGAAGGGUGAUAAGGUUUUUGGGUAGUGCUCAGUGCGACUACUGACUUCUUCAUCACGGACGCCCCGGACUCCGAUGACUACUUCCCCGACGACGACUACUUCCCCGACGUCGACAACCUUCUCGACGACAUGGCUGGCGAGGACAUCGACCCCAAGUCCAGUACUACUACUGCUGCUGUCACGUAUGUGUUCUUCUUCUUUCUUUUAGAUGUCCUGCCACAGCUUCUCGUACUAGUACUUGCCCUAGAUGUGUUAGGUUCUACUCCAUAUAUGCAACUAGCUCUAUUGUCUGCUCUAGAUAUGCUAGGUUACAGUUCACAUAUGCAGAUGUCUUUUACCUUCUCUCUGUCAGAACGCAUGACUUGUUUUAUCUCUACUAUAUUAGUCAUGCUUUAUCUAGUAUUUAUGUUAAUAAAAUCAUUUGGUAAAUUGCUCAUAUUUCCAACAGUCAUUAUUCACUAUUGCAGGAUACUACUAACGCGACACUACGAUCAGAGACCCUUUUGCCGAAACUGUGUGCGAUGCAAUAAUCGCAAAUGGUGGUGUAAAAAAAUGUCAAAAAUGGUGCAAAAUGUUUGCAAUGGCGGAGCCAUCAAACACGGUUCAGAUUUUUGUUGCGUGUGCGAUGUAGGACACACGGUUAAUCUAUUCAAACUUACUGCGAUGAGGAAGAACAACAGAAACGGGCAGCCAUAACAAUGGGUGUGCAAUGCAGGACACACGGUUAAUCCAUUCGAAUUGUUUGCGAUGAGGUGGAACAAUAGAAACGGAAAGCCAUAUCAAUGUGUGUGCGAUAUAUGGCAUACUGUUAACUCGGACGAACUAUUUUUGAUUAGGGAACACAACAGAAAUGGUUCAACUCAACAAGAUGUGUGUGAUAUGCGGCAUACAAUUCACAUGGAUGAACUGUUUGUGAUGAGCCAAAAGAACACAAACAAGUCGUGUAAACAAGAUAUGGGUGAUACGUGGAAAACAGACAACUUGGAUGAACCAUUUGCGAUAAGAAAUUACAACACAUACGGUCAAUGCACUUACUUCAUGUGCGAUUCUGUGUCUACAAAAAACUUUGAAAAAUGCAAACUAGUUGCUUGCGGUGAUGGAGUAUCACACACGAUGCGUCUGUGAGUACUCAUGUGCGAUGAUUAGUAUGUUAGACAUACGUUUCCUUAUGUUAACAUGUGUGUGAAUUUGCAGUAUAGACAGUUAAUAUUCAAAUGCCUUUUGGACACCGGGCACACGCUUAAAGUCAAUGAACUGUGUAUGAUACUAAUACUUUCCAUGACAAUUUAUGAACUCGGGUAACAACAUUUGAGUAACAUAUAUAUAGUGGUUACACUAUUCGACAAAGGCAGGAUCUUCGUAACACAGUUUUGACAACCAUAUGGUCCAUAUCUACAUACUUAACAUAGUAACAACUAUCACAUUUUAAGAGGCUAAGGGCCAAUAACCAUAUGGUCCAUAUCUACACACUUAACAUAUAUAGUAAUAGCUAGCACAUUUUAAGAGGCUGAGAGCCAACAACCACAACUAUCCAUUAGAAGUAGCUUGAUCACAGCAACUCGACAUCUCGUCAAUGAAAAGGAAGAGCCCUCCUGUGCCUUGGUAGAGCAUGAGUAGAACAGUGUCUCCAAUUUUCCAAUAUGGAUGCAUUGCCACUAGAAGCGAGAACUUGUUAAUUUGAAUGGUUCCAUUUCUGCAAGAAAUGCAAUACCUUGCAAUCACUUUGGCGUUAUUAGCAGGCACAAGUGUAAUUCGACCACGCUGGGAAAUCGAUCCAGCAACUGCUAUAGGGGGCAAUUUCUGUUGACACGUAGAAUAAAAACAAUUGUAACAUAUUGUUGAAGAUAUAUAUAGUUUAUGAGCAUCAACAUUAAAAUAAGACUUUUUACCAGCAUUUUGUGCACACAAUUGGUCUUGUUCAUUGUGUGCACCAUAGGUCUAAUUAAUCCCAUCCAAAAUACAACUUUCAUACGAUGUGCUAUCUCUAUCAGAUUAUCAACAAAGUUUAUGACAUGCUUCAAGUCCUUCCAGUGAAAUUUGGUACGCUUAGUAACAUACAGAUCGUUCACUAUGCAUCCAACAUAUCCUGCUUAAAAGGUGGAAAGGUAUUAUUUAUUCAGAACAUGGCAGAAGAAUAUAUAGUGCGCAUAAAUUGGUAAAUAGAAUUUGUUACUGCCUAGGAACAGAGUCAGAAUAUGAUAUCACAAUUGGUUGCUUAAAUAGUGAUCAAUUGGUUGCUUAAACAGUAAUAUGACAGCAUGGAGAAAGUUGAAAGGACACUAACCUCGAUCAGACUUUGAUCGGCUGAUGACAUCGGGGAAGUAAACAUCCAUGUUAAUUAGACCAGGCUGUGGUGCACGCACUAGAAUUUUAUUGCCAGCUUUCAGUUCAUAACACUUAGACAUUUUUCUCCAAAGGUCCGCAUUAAAAUAGGAGUGACCAUCUUUAUCAAGUUUUGCGCUAAUUGUCAUUGUAAAUCCAUGCUGCGUUGUCAAUAUGACAUCCUGGGAGUCAUCAGCAAAGUAAAUCCCAAGAUUUCCUUCUACUCUUGUUCUUGCAAAGCAAGGGAUGUACUGCUUGAAAUGAAAAUUAAGAUAGUAAAUUAGAUAUAUUGAAAUAACAGAGCAAGAUGCAAAUAUGGGAGUGACUGAUAGAACAGAUCCAUAUAUAUAAGAUGAAAGAAAAGUACAAAAAUAUAGAAUUAAAAAUAGAUAAUGUAACAGAGAUUUGAUGCAAAUAUAUAGAUAAUGUAGCAACUGACGGUAUAUGUUCACAAAUUUAGGCCACGCCGACCGUGGUAGGUUGAGAUUGAACAUACCGAGCGCUCCCUGAAGUCAUCCGCAAUGGUGAGAUAGAACUUCAUUUCCGACUGGCCACGACCACAGUUGCCCGAUUUGUGCUCUCACUGUGGACAGAUGAAUGAACACCCACGAAUCAGCUAGAACAAAAAUGAUUCCACGGCGAUUUCCAUCGGUUGAUUAACAGCGACGGACGGACUGCGAUAAGAAAUGAGUGAAUGUUUCGCUAAUUAAGUUGAUUACCUUCUCCAUGAGAAAAAUCCCUGGCCCAAUCCCGCAGAAAACCCCAGUCGACCAGAGUCUAGAAUGUCGGUGCAGAUAGGCGACGGAAAUUGGCAGGGGCGAAAUUCGGUGCCGUUUAGAGCGCGACCUACGCCCGCCGCCAACAGCCGUCGAGCUUAGGGUGCGGAGUUGCGGAGGAGUCUGCGGCGAGUGAGUAGGGAAGAAGUAGGCGAGGGUUUUCUUUUUCCUUUUGCAUGUGUGAGUGAACACACACGGUUCGCAGAGGCGACGGAGAUGAAUCGUGUGCGAUAGUAAAUCACCGAGAUUGAAUGGGAAUCCAAAUUUCCUUUGUCCUUCAUCCAUGUGUUUUUUUCUACGAUGAACAUAAACCCUGCUAAUCACCAUGUUCAAAUUUGACACUUUUCCGAGUUCAUUUACAAUAUUUAGGGGAUUAUGUGCAUUUUGUAGGCACUAAUGCACAUAAUUCGAAUUCAAACAAUCGGUGCAUGAAAGGGUGCACAAGAACGGUCUGGAAAAACCAUACUCGCGGUAUUUAGUAAUUUCUCAAGCCUUUUACAAGGAAUGGGCAGAGAUUUUAAUGAAAUGCGUGGCAAUAGUCAACCAUAAACGCGUCAUUUACUGGGUUAUCAACUAUAGAACAAUGAAAUAUAUGCUUGAAAAACAUGACGGCUGGCAUGGUGCCAUGGUAUGGCCUCACCGUGCCCUGGUUAAAAGCUGAGAAGGUUUGAUUUAUGUCGUCAUGUACGCCCUUCAUAAAUCGAACCAUCACCGAGGAAUUUCAAUGCUUUCGAGAGGGAAAUCACCAAGAUUGAAGGGGAAUCCAAAUUGCUGUCCUAGUUUGUCAUUCAAUUUUUUUUCCAACGAUCAACAUACCGCCUCAAAUGCAACGUGUUCAAAUUUGACAUUUUUCUGAACUCAUUUACCAUAUUUAGGGGAUUAUGUGCAUUUUCUAGGCAUUAAUUAUGCACAUAAUUCAAAUUCGAACAAUUGGUGCAUGAAAAGGUGCAAAAGAAUGGUCUGCAAAACCAUGCUCGUGCUAUUUAGUACAUUCUCAUGCCUUUUACAAGGAAUGGGCAGAUAUUUCAAGGAAAUGUGUGGCAAUAGUCAACCAUAAAAACAUCGUUUACUGGGUUAACAAGUAUACAAAAAUGAAAUACAUGUUUGGAAAACAUGACACCUGGUGUGGUGCCAUGGUAUGACCUCAGCGUGCCAUGGUAAAAAUGUCGUCAUGCAUGCCUUUCAUAAAACAAACUAUCACCGAGGAAGUUUCAUGGUUUCGAGGGGGAAAUCAGCAAGAUUGAAGGGGGAUCCAAAUUUCCUUUGUCCUUUGUCCACGAGUUUUUUUUCUAUGAUGAACAUACAACCUGCAAAUCACCGUGUUCAAAUUUGGCACUUUUCUGGGUUCAUUUGCCAUAUUUAGGGGAUUAUGUGCAUUUCCUAGGCAUUAAUGUACAUAAUUCAAGUUCAAACAAUUUGUGCAUGAAAGGGUCCACAAGAACGGCCUGGAAAACCAUGCUCGUGCCAUUUAGUAAAUUCUCAUGCCUUUUACAAGGAAUAAUGGACAGAUAUUUCAAUGAAAUGUGUGGCAAUAGUCAACCAUAAAUGUUUGUUUGUUGGGUUUUCAACUAUAGAGAAAUGAAAUAAAUGCUUAAAAAACAGGACGCCUGGCAUGGUGCCAUGGUAUGACCUCACCAUGCCAUGGUAAAAAUUUGAGAAGGUUUGGCUUAUGUCGUCAUGCACGCCCUUCAUAAAUCGAACCAUCACCGAGGAAGUUCCAUGCUUUCGAGAGGGAAAUCCCCAAGAUUGAAGCGGAAUCCAAAUUUCCGUCCUAGUUUGUCAUUCAAUUUUUUUCCAAUGAGCAACAUAACGCCUCAAAUGCAACAUGUUCAAAUUUGACAUUUUCCCGGGCUCAUUUACCAUAUUUAGGGGAUUAUGUGCAUUUUCUAGGCAUUAAUGGACAUAAUUCGAAUUCGAACAAUCGGUGCAUGAAAAGGUGCACAAGAAUGGUCUGGAAAACCAUGCUCGUGUUAUUUAGUACAUUCUCAUGCCUUUUACAAGGAAUGGACAGAUAUUUCAAGGAAAUGUGUGGCAAUAGUCAACCAUAAACGCGUCCUUUACUCGGUUAACAACUAUACAAAAAAUGAAACACAUGGUUGGAAAACAUGAUGCCUGGCGUGGUGCCAUGGUAUGGCCUCACCAUGCCCUGGUAAAAUUUGGAGAAUGUUUUCCUUAUAUAGUGAUGCACGCCUUUCAUAGAUCGAACAAUCACCGAGGAAGGUUCAUGGUUUAAUGUGGCGUCCGAAUGUCGUAACCGUACUUUAUUAGAUAUGGUGCGAUCUAUGAUGUCUCUUACCGAUUUACCACUAUCGUUUUGGGUUAUGCUUUAGAGACGACUGCAUUCACCUUAAAUAGGGCACCAUCUAAUUCCAUUGAGACAGCACCAUAUGAACUGUUGUUUGGUAGGAAACUUAAGCUGUCGUUUCUCAAAGUUUGGGGCUGCGAUGCUUAUGUGAAAAAGCUUCAACCUGAAAGCUUGAACCUAAAUAAGAGAAAUGUGUCUUCAUAGGAUAAUCUUCUUUUGCGGUGUGUUUGUCGAGAUCCGAUGAAUUGUGGGUUUAUGAUCCAGAUUAUCUAUGAACAAUAUUUGAUUCUUCUCUGAAUUCUUUUAUGUAUGAUUAGUUUAUCUUUUCAAGUCUCUUUGAAUUAUCAGUUUGGUUUGGCCUACUAGAUUGAUCUUCUUGCAAUGGGAGAAGUGCUUAGUUUUGGGUUCAAUCUUGCGGUGCUCGAUCCCAGUGACAGUAGGGGAAACGACACGUACUGUAUUAUUGCCAUCGAGGAUAAAAAGAUGGGUUUUAUAUCAUAUUGCAUGAGUUUAUCCCUCUACAUCAUGUCAUCUUUCUUAAGGCGUUACUCUGUUCUUAUGAACUUAAUACUCUAGAUGCAUGCUGGAUAGUGGUCGAUGUGUGAAGUAAUAGUAGUAGAUGCAGAAUCGUUUCGGUCUACUUGUCGCGGACAUGAUGCCUAUAUACAUGAUCAUGCCUAGAUAUUCUCAUAAUUAUUCGCUUGUCUAUCAAUUGCUCGACAGUAAUUUUUUUACCCACCGUAUUUGAAGUUUUGUCAAUUGCCCAACAGUAAUUUGUUC
rnacentral:lncRNA from 1 species